AACAAGUCUUAACAUAUCACGCCUUGGCGACUGCUCGCUCUUCCGCUCCUCCUUCGCUCUCUUCUGCCAAAAGAAUUCACAUACACUAUCAUUCAUACUCACCUUUUCUUCUCUUCACUGAAUAAAACACACAAUAACGACAAAAUCAACAGGCGCGAGUCUCAAAGUUUGCUUCUUUUUUGCUCGUGCGGUUGCGGGAAGAGGUGGCGGUUGCAGUUUCUCGUUUUUGGCGAUAUACGGCCAAAGGGGAAUUUUCCAGCAAUAGCGUAUUAGAAUGAGUAGUAAUGAAAUGGCGAAUUCUAAAGAAGCGGGGGAAGGGGAAGACGUGGACGUGAUUCUAAAUGGUUCACUAGUUGAAGAAGAAGCCAAAGUGCCUCCUUCGUCUGAAAAUGAGGAUUCAAGGGCAGAGGAAAAGCAGAAUGUUGUUACCAAAGAUGUUGAAGUAGAAGAACAAAUCCCAGCUGAAAAGGUUGGGGAUGGGGAAAUUCCUGAUGACAAAGGUCUUGAGACUUUUCCUGAUGACAUGGCUGGCAAAGCUUCUAGUGAUAUUAAUGGAACUAGUAGUGGCAACAUCCAAGCCGAAUCCAAUGGAACACAUAGAAAUGAAAGCAACGAUGGUGCAGAUGCUAAAGGACAUUGCAAUGCCAAAAAUGAGGAUGCUCAUGUUAACGUCUUGAAUGGGAAGCCUAUGGAAUUGGAGACCAAAGCUGAAGACAGCGAGAAAGUUGAAGAUGAUAAGAAAGUGGAGGCAUUCAAAGAUGUGGUGACAAUAACAGACUUGUCUCCACAUUCAGUGAUUAAGAAGGAGAUGGCAAAUCCGAAGUUGGAUGAAGAGCAUGAGGUCUCCAUGAACACUCCAAACAAAUCAUUCCUUGUGGGACCUGCUUCAGUUGAUGGCUAUGAGUCGGGAACAGAAGAGGAGCAAGCAGCUUUCUUGAAGGAUGUUGAAUCUGUUUAUAAAGAGAAUAACUUAGAAUUCAAGGCCCCAAAAUUCUAUAAAGAAGAACUCAAUUUACUCAAGCUAUGGAGAGCAGUGAUCAAACUGGGAGGGUAUGAACAGGUGACAUCAUACAAGUUAUGGCGACAAGUGGGAGAAUCAUUUAAUCCCCCAAAGACCUGCACUACUGUUUCUUGGACAUUCCGAAAUUUUUAUGAGAAGGCAUUACUUGAAUAUGAAAAGCAUAAAGUGCGUUGCGGGGAGCUCCCUUUUCCUGAUGGUUCUUUGACAGAGCCCGUAAGGGUUGAAAACCAGACUCCUGGAAAUCAAGCUCUUGGAUCAGGUAGGGCAAGAAGGGAUGCUGCUGCUCGUGCCAUGCAGGGAUGGCACUCUCAGCGUCUUCUCGGUAAUGGUCAGGUUUGUGAUCCAAUCAUUAAGGAUAAAAGCUUGAAUUCCACACAAAAGGGUGACAAGCAGCUGAAAACAAAUGGUUUGCUGAAGCGUAAAAAACCAUCAACCGUUGAGCGAGCUGUCCAUGUUCCUCACGUGAAAAUGAUGAAGCUACAAGCGGAUACAAUGGUCAUUGAUAUUGGACCUCCGGCUGACUGGGUGAAGAUCAAUGUGCAAAGAACUAAUGACUGCUUUGAAAUAUAUGCUUUAGUUCCAGGGCUUCUUCGUGAGGAGGUGCAUGUUCAAUCUGAUCCAGCAGGACGCUUGAUUAUAUCGGGUCAACCAGAGCAACUGGAUAAUCCUUGGGGUGUCACACCAUUUAAAAAGGUUGUCAGUUUACCUUCACGAAUUGAUCCACAUCAGACAUCUGCUGUGGUCACCCUGCAUGGCCAAUUAUUUGUGCGUGUCCCGUUUGAAAAUCUGGAUAUUUAGAAUGCGGAGAUGGUUGUCACUUAAAGCACAGCUGGAGAUUACUCUCUCAGGAUAAAAGAAACUAAGUUAGGAUUGAUGUCAAGGCUAAUUUUGUAGUGUAAGGGUGUUGUCAUUGCUGACAAUUGAAGCUUGAGACCAUCUAAUUAGGUCUAUGAAAAAGAGAGCUGCUCCGAAAUCAGAGUGCACCGAGAAAUUUUGCUUUGUUUUAACAUCUUUAGGUCAGACAUCAUAUCCAAAAAGUUGAAGGUCCUUGUAAGAUCAAGUGUUAACUUGUUUGAUUUUGUGCAUAGGAUGCAAUAAAAAGUUCCACAGAAACUUGUGGACACAGCCUGGGGGAAUAAAAAGUAGAUUUGUAUGCAAAGAUUAAAACUUCAAAAUUGGCAGACAAUCAUGUAACUUUUUAUUGCUGUCCUUCAGGAACUCAGUACAUGCAUACAUGCUUUACUAUGCUAAGACUAGUGAAAGUUUUAGCAUUGAACAAUUGCGAUUAUAUUUAAUACAAUGUUUAAUUUAUAAA